ensembl:rRNA 5S_rRNA 5S ribosomal RNA
GCUGGUGGAGACUUACCCCUCUCUGCAACUCUCACAUGGUCACCCACUAAAGCUAAGCAGGGCUGCGCUUGGUCAGUACCUGGAUGGGAGACCACGUGGGAAAGCUAAGUUGCUGCCGGAA